rnacentral:rRNA from 1 species
AUUGAACGCUGGCGGCAGGCCUAACACAUGCAAGACGAACGGUAGCACAGAGAGCUUGCUCUCGGGUGACGAGUGGCGGACGGGUGAGUAACGUCUGGGAAACUGCCCGAUGGUGGGGGAUAACUACUGGAAACGGUAGCUAAUACCGCAUAACGUCGCAAGACCAAAGUGGGGGACCUUCGGGCCUCACACCAUCGGAUGUGCCCAGAUGGGAUUAGCUAGUAGGUGGGGUAAUGGCUCACCUAGGCGACGAUCCCUAGCUGGUCUGAGAGGAUGACCAGCCACACUGUAACUGUGACACGGUCCAGACUCCUACGGGAGGCAGCAGUGGGGAAUAUUGCACAAUGGGCGCAAGCCUGAUGCAGCCAUGCCGCGUGUAUGAAGAAGGCCUUCGGGUUGUAAAGUACUUUCAGCGGGGAGGAAGGCGGUGAAGUUAAUAGCUUCACCGAUUGACGUUACCCGCAGAAGAAGCACCGGCUAACUCCGUGCCAGCAGCCGCGGUAA